CUGAGCGUUUCCCCCUUGCUCCCUGAUGAAGGGAAACAGCCAGCAAUGUUCCUGUGUAGAUCUGGGGGCGGGGGACGCUUUCUGCCUCUGGUGAUUCAUUCUCUCUUCUGUAUAGUUUUAUGAGAAGCAAUCCUAUUCCAGGUACAUCUCAUUUUCUUUGCACAACCAAAUCCUACUUAUGCUUCUUUAAGUUAUGAUAAGAGGAAGGUGUAUACCAAAUUUUGUGGUCCUAAGUCAGCCCGGGCACCCCCUGUAAGCACGCCUUCAUGGUGCCCAGUACAGAGCCCUGCUGACCUACACCCUCUUCAGUUCCUUCUUGCCACCAGUGACAGUUAGCUAGAACUUCCUUGUGCUCUUGUUGGAAAAAAAAGCAGCAGUCUAUUGACACAGUUCCUCAGUAGUUAACAUUUAUUAACAGUUAAUUAAGCAAUUAAUUAAUGUUAGAUUAUGUUUCCUUUUCUGAGGGGAAGGGAAAGUGUUUCCUGCUUCUUCAGCACCAGGGCAUACCUGGAUAUCCAGGCUUCAAAGCCUGUGAAACCUGCAGCAAGUGUAUGCCCAGAAGCAAUCCUCACACUGUGUGUUUGAAGUGCAUAGGACAGGGCCAUCAGAAGGAUUGCUGUGCCAUCUGCAAGACAUUUUGGUCUUGAACUUUGGAAGAUAAAAAUCAGCACCUCAGGGUCUUGCUGAUGGAGACUGCUCUUCAGUUUGCAUUUAAUUGCAUUACUUGUGAACCAGGGUCAUAUUAUUACAUGGUUAAAAUCUGUAUCAAACUUCACAUUUUCUGUAGAACAGAACAGUUACUCCACUACACUAAGACUAGAUUUUCCCAUCCUUUCUUACAGGAGUACACAAGCUGUGAUCUAUCUGCAAGAGCAUUUACACCAAUUACAAAGCCACUGAGAAAUCAACACACAAGAAACUGUUUAAGAGUCAGACACGCUAGUUACUGAACUAUAAACUAAACAGAAUUAUUGUAAAGAUAAAACAAAAGGGAAGUCACCAAUUUUCCCUAAAGCCUUGAUGAAAACACUUUUAUGAGGAAUGAGAGAGAUGCCUUGCGUCUAUCUGGCUUUAGAGGUAGAAAUGAUGAGAAGAAACUAUU